CUACGGGAGGCUCCAGUGGGGAAUCUUGGACAAUGGGCGCAAGCCUGAUCCAGCCAUGCCGCGUGAGUGAAGAAGGUCUUCGGAUUGUAAAGCUCUUUUACCAGGGACGAUAAUGACGGUACCUGGAGAAUAAGCCCCGGCAAACUUCGUGCCAGCAGCCGCGGUAAUACGAAGGGGGCUAGCGUUGUUCGGAAUUACUGGGCGUAAAGCGCACGUAGGCGGGUCGUUAAGUCAGGGGUGAAAUCCCGGAGCUCAACUCCGGAACUGCCUUUGAUACUGGCGAUCUUGAGAUCGGAAGAGGUGAGUGGAAUUCCCAGUGUAGAGGUGAAAUUCGUAGAUAUUGGGAAGAACACCAGUGGCGAAGGCGGCUCACUGGUCCGAUACUGACGCUGAGGUGCGAAAGCGUGGGGAGCAAACAGGAUUAGAUACCCCUGUAGUC
rnacentral:rRNA from 1 species